rnacentral:lncRNA from 1 species
GUGGAAAGGGGGGGGGUACUUAUGAUUUAAUGUCAAAACCAAGUAACACAAGUAGUAAGAAAUGCAUUUUAUUUAUACUAUUUGGCCUCUGGCACAACAAUAUGCACGUUUUAAGUGGUAUUGGCAGAAAUUCUAAGAAAUAGUUGCUGAAAGUUACUGACAUAUUGACAAUGUUAACUGUUUGUAUCCGUUUUUCGUAGAAACUAAUCAUAAGAAAACUUAUUGAACCUUCAUUUUAUAAAGCUCAAAACAUAACUGAAAGAAAACAAUCCAUUAAGAACCGAUUUUUGCAGUUUAUAGAAACCAAAC